GGGGAACAGCUGCAACAGGAGAGUUUGACAGAACACCCCUGAAUAGCCAGGUGGUUAGGGCACUUACUGAGAAUGGGGGAGACGUGGUUCAAGUCCCUGCUCUAGAGUAAUUCAAAUCUGGGUCUCCUGUAUCUCAGCUGGCUACUGACCAGAUGCCGAGUGGAAUUCAGAAAUGCUGGCGAGUGAAAAUCAAAUGAUUGAAUGGGCUGGAGAAAUGAAGCAAUUGGGAAUGGCUGAAGAGGAUUCCCAGCUGUGUCUGUAAUCAGUGCAAUUCAGGGCUCACAACAUGCUGGCCAUAGUGUUUUCACGAUCCAGGCAUUCCAUGAUGAAAAGGCAAACAAUUAAAUGGGAGAGAAACUUUAAGGUUUUAUUUAUUAUUCUUGUUUUGAAAUUGUCUUGGAAGCAGUAUGUUGCUUUGGGGCCGAGGCCUGCAGACCCAUAGUUGCCUUAGGCUUGAUCAUAAUGAUCUCUCUGUGGUUUGACUGGCUUUUGGGUUCUCUCCCUGUCACUAAGCCCCUUUUAAGAGCUGCUGCGGUGUCUGGGAGAGGAACAAAACUGUUUUUCCUCAUCUGGUCAAACUCAUGAGUUUAAAAUGAAGUUAGUGGCUUGCAAAACUACAGUUUCAAAACAGCUCUUUUCUCUCCCAAGUCCCAGUGGGGUUUACUACUAAUGUGAAGAAAUGGAUGAGAGUCAAUGAAUUUAAACACACGCACGCACGCACAUACAUGGACCUUGGUAAUUCUCACUUUGUUGGUCUACAGAUAGGUGGAUUCUAUUAUAAACCUGUAGUCUUAGGCCAUUUUUCAGCACAGAUUCAAUAGCAGGGCUCUACGUGAGGCUCAUAUUGCCAACUAUUUUGGUUAUUAACUUUACAAAUAUAAUACUGUAUGUAUACUACCACACUAGGAAGUGCUUCAUCGUUAUACAUAAUUACUAUGGCGUGACACUGUUAAAAGAAAUAAACAAGAUACGCCGCACAAAAUGUAUCCUUGAUUUGAUCAUGUUUGUUCAUUUAUUUGCUAAUUCCCCAAAUUCAGUAAUUGGCAAAAGGCUUCCUAGGGCUUGAUCUCGUCCCCAUUCAAAUAAAUGGAAAAACGCCCUUGAAUUUUAAUGGUACAGGAUCGAGCACCUAGUCACUACUGCCACACAGUGAGAUGCUAUCCUAAAUUCCUAGCUUCUCGAAGGCCCUUUCUCACCAACAGGCAUGUGUGACAGAGCAUGAGUUAGAACCCUUGGGAGGCAAGGGGUUUAUUACAAGAACUGGUCAGAAAACGCAAUUUCUGUCCCUUGGGAAAUGGCAAUAUUUUGAGGUUUGUUUUUGUUCUGAAUUGGUAUGGAGAGUAGAAAUUUCAACAUUUACCACAGAAUGAAUG